UUUCUUUCUAUGAUUGAUCCAUUUUUGUCUUCCAAUUCCACAAGGCCUCCGGUUAAUCUUCCGGCGGAUCAGAGCGGUGCUGAGGAGAAGACAUCUUUGGCAUCGGUUGUGGAUUCAUGGAGAUCAGAUUUGAAGUUUGUUGAGGUUCCCGAUUAAGCUACCAUCAUGUUUCCGAAGAAAAUUAUUGAGAAAAGGGUGAAACGCCUGCGCUCGGCGGUGGUUG
rnacentral:lncRNA from 1 species